GGUGGCUCAGUGGUAGAGUAUUUGCUUUGCAUGCAUGAGGCCCUAGGUUUGAUUCCUUAGUACCA
rnacentral:tRNA from 1 species